rnacentral:sRNA from 1 species
GCACAGAGCUUCACAGUCGGACUUUCGUUCGAAUCGAUUCAAAUUGCCUCCACAUCCACGGAAGAAGAAGAGCUUACAACGGUUGUCACGUGGGGAGUAGAAGUAUUGAAGGUUCGUGCGUGUUGGUGUUUCGGAAUCGUUACAGACGCGUCCUGAAAUAUACAUUUUUGAGAUGCUCGAAGUUCAUCUCUAAGUUGAAAUUCAAAGUAGCCCGCAGGGCUCUGAGGCAACCGAGAUUUUUGGUAACCUGCAAGUGUUGCAGUUGCCGAACCAACAAAAAUUUCGGAACGCUCAGAACAACCGGCAACUUCCGGUUUCUGAAACUUUGGCAAUUUUUCGGCAACCGGCAACCAAGAAGUUUUGACGUUGGUAAAACAAAUUUCGACAAUAUUCCGAAAAUACGUCUUUUUUUUUCUUGAUUUUACGUUUGCAAGAGGUCAAUGUAACCCCGUUUUUGAAUUUUUAUUCAUUUCUCGAGUUCUUUGUCUCGCUUGUUAAAUUCAAAUAGUAAGUUCAAUAUAUAAAUCUAACUUUGUGUGUUUUCAUUGAACAGUUUUAAUUCUCAUUCACACUCACCUUCCGAUGGCUUAAUCUGACAAACACUCUUGUCCUGAACCAUCAUUUUUUCAGUGGUCGUCGUCACAUCCUCCUCUUCAACUUCCUUCUUCUCAUCAGCACCCAAAUCAAUGGACACUCCUCCCUCUGCACUCAAAUCUGCUGCGAUUGGAGAACUCUUGGCAAGCUCCUCAACCUGAUUUACAGGCUUGUUUGGCUUCAUUUGAAGGUGAGCCACAAAGUCUUCUCCAUCCUCCUCCUCAUCAUCUUCUGAUUCUUCAACGUCAAUGUUCUCAACCUUAGCCUCUGUGGUUGUUUCUGUGUUGGAGGCUAGUCGUGGUGCAAAGAUCUCCUCAGAGGCGAUUCUUUGAGCAUCUCCAUACAGUGGGCAACACAAUCUAGAAUUUCUUGCAGAAUCAAUUGCGCAAUAGUAUCCCUUGGGGCACAUCUUGACUCCAUCGAAUCCUGAUCCACAAAGCAUUGGUUCUCCGUUCUCCAACAUCAAUGGAUCGGCGGCGUCUGGGCACAUGUACUUUGGAGUUGACAGGAAGAUUUGGCGAUUGAAGCCACGUGGCAUGUGAGAUUCGUUUUUGACAACUCCACGAGACACAUCCUUGACAAUCUCUUCUGGUUGCACUGAAAGAAGAGAUACGUUUUAAAGG